CCUGCCGUGACUGAGUUGAGAAUAUACUCUUUCCCCUGCAUCUUUCUGUUUCGCUAAACAUGAAUAAACACGACGUUGUUCUCUGUAAACAUUGGCCUUCUCCUCCGAAGAAAGGUGUCAGAAUCAGCUGAGGGAGGCAGCUAAAGGAAGAACUCUAAAGAUGGAUUUAAAACAUAAGCCGGCUACCAGUCUUGCCAAGGAAGACAUGAAAACACAUCCAGAGUGUGUACACACCAAUCUGAGCUGACAGCUGCACCCUUCUUUUCACUGAAGGAAGAGGAUUUGUUACUGGCAUCUUGAGGCUUCUACCUUGAAAUGUGCUGUGUCUUGCAAGGGAUUGGGAUCGGCCGAACAUGGUACCUUCAAAGAGCUUGGAAGGCUUUGAUGAGUCCACUUCCUCUUCCUCAUGGAUCAACAGGGCUGUGGCCUUUACUUGCUCCGAGGAAGGCAAAGUCCUUCCUUGAACUUGUAAUCAGCUCCCGGAGGUGAGCUUGAGCCAAGUAAAGGACUUGGACUCAAAAAAAAUCAAAUCACUACAUAUGACAUGUGGUUUCAGUGUGUGACUUUUGAUGCUUUGGUUUCAAGGUACUUGGCUCUCUGUGAAAUUAAGACAGUGGUAUUAUCUUUCAUUAAAAUAUAUUCCUUUGCAUUUUAUUUUCAUCCUUAUAAGCCAUCUGGAUAUUGCAGGUCUUAGGAUGUAAUUGUGGGAAAUUACAUACGUAUAAGCAUCAGGUUAAUCAUUUGAGACCAGCUAAUUCACAGAGUCAGUAGUGUUUGAUGAUUCUGGCAAAAGCAUACGUUGCUUCAUUUCUAAAAGCACU